rnacentral:rRNA from 1 species
CCUACGGGGUGCAGCAGUGGGGAAUAUUGCGCAAUGGGCGAAAGCCUGACGCAGCGACGCCGCGUGAGGGAUGAAGGUCCUCGGAUCGUAAACCUCUGUCAGCAGGGAAGAACGGUCACUGUGCUAAUCAGCAGUGAAUUGACGGUACCUGCAAAGGAAGCACCGGCUAACUCCGUGCCAGCCGCCGCGGCAAUACGGAGGGUCCGAGCGUUAAUCGGAAUUACUGGGCGUAAAGCGGUCGUAGGCGGUAUGUCAAGUCAAGGGUGAAAUCCCCGGGCUCAACGUUGGAACUGCCUUUGAAACUGGCAAACUGGAGUGUGGGGGAGGAUAGUGGAAUUCGAGGUGUAGGAGUGAAAUCCGUAGAUAUGUGGAGGAACACCAGUGGCGAAGGCGACUAUCUGGCACAUAACUGACGCUGAGGAGCGAAAGCGUGGGUAGCAAACAGGAUUAGAUACCCCUGUAGUC